UUUUUUUUUUUUUUUUUUUAAGUUUUUAGAAUGGAAGUACAAUUUACAUGCAGCAAAAAAGAUCUCAAGUGAACAGCUUGAGGCGUUUGGGAAACGCGUACACCCAUGGGUAAGUGACACACAAAUCAAGACAGAACAUUUCUGUCGCCCUGGAAAGUUCCCUCAUCCCUUCCCAGCCAAAAUACUCCCCCUCCCAGUGGCAGUCCUUGUUCCGAUUUCUGUCACCGCAAGUUGGCUUGACGGGUUCUAGAACUUCCCCGGCUCCACCCAUUCAUCUGUCUGCUGCUGAUGUCGCCCGCUCGGCAGGUUGUUUGGAGGCUCAUGGGCGUGUGUAAUGUUUCCUAUCACGCUUCGUGGCAUUUCCCGGUAGGAAUGCAGCCCAUGCGGUUAUCCUGCUGAUGGGCAUUUGAGUUGUUUCCCGAGGGCAUUAUGCUCAGAUACGCAGCUGGGAACGUUUGUGUAAAAUCCUCCUGCGGAUGUCUGUUUUUAACCUCUCUUGGGUAAAAUACCCCCAAACGGGACUUGCUAGGUCACAGGGAAACGGUAUGGUUAACUUUAUAAGAAACUGUCGAUUUUCCAAAAUGCUUUUGCCAGUUCCCUCCCCUGCAGAAAUGAAGGAGAGUUCCAGGUGCUCCUUGUGCUCGCAAAUAAUCGACACCAUCAGCCUUGGUCUGGUUCGCGUGCAUCGCUGUCUAGGGCCUAAGAGCGUAUCUCGUGGUGGUUUUAACUUCCAUUUUCCUGACGAACGCUCUGGGGCACCCUUUUACGUGUUAGCCGGCCCUCCUAAUAUCUUCUUUAGUGAAGUGUGUGUGUCUGAAUCUUUUGCUCAUUUACGUCUUUUUUAUUAUUAUGGAAUCGUAGACGUUGCUACGAUAUUCCGGGUCACGUUUAUUUCCAGAUCCUUCUUUCGCGAAUGCCUCCUCCCCGUGUGUGGCUUUCCUUUUCGCUUUUUGACAUUUUCUUUCGCGGUAAGUUUCAAAUCAGAUCGCAGGGCGAGUGCAAAGGACUGUAUGCCCUUCGCUCGGAUCCAUGAACUGUUUUCAUGUUCUUGCGGUCACUCGAUUAUUCUUGCCUUUCUCCCUCUUUCUCCCUCGUGUAUGUGUGACGAUGCACACAGGCACAUAUGUGUGUUUAUAUGUAUAUCCUCACAUACAAGGUUAUAUGGUUGUGCACGUGUAGAAAGACAUAGAAAAUAUAACGGAUAAACACAUAAGCACACAUACAGAUGUGCGUGUGCGUGCGUGUGUGUGUGUGUGUUUCUCUGCACCGUUUGUGGGGAAGUUGGGGAUAUCGGGACCCCUUCUACUAGGCAAUGUAUGUCCCAAGGACAAGUGUUAAAACAGUAUUAAAAUGAAAAAAUGUUGAUACUGACUCUCCUCCAGGAGCCAAUCCACAGCCCAUAUUCACCUUUCAUUCGUUGCUACUAUGUGUCCAUGGCAGCUGCCUCCUGGCAGGUCCGCAUCUAACACAGGGGUGGAGAGCAGGUGGGUGCCACGUCUCUUUAGUUUCCUGCUGUCUGGAUCAGCUUCUCCGCCUUUCUUUGCCGUUCAGGUCCUUGACACUUUGAUGCAUGCAAGCCAGUUAAUUUGUAGGGAUUCUCUCAGUUAGGGAUCGCCCUACGUGUCCCCACGGGUAGACUCAGCUCCUGCACUCCUGGGGGAUGUUAUUGGAAAGACGUGACCUUGAUGCGUCACAGCCGAAGGAAGGCAAGAGGUGUUGGUUUGAUACGAAUGACAUGGACCGGGAACUUGCUGGGACGCUGGCAUUCGUCAAGCUCUCUGUUUAAAGUUAUGAUUGCUCCUUUUUAAAAUUUAAACAAAUUUUUAAAAGUUUUUUAAUUUUAAAAACGUAUUUACUUUUUUUCACCAUUGCUCCUGUGGCUUAUGGAAGUCCCCCGGCUAGGGGUCAGAGCAGCGGCUGCUGGUCCACACCAUGGUUUGAGGCAACACCAGAUCCUUAACCCACUGAGCGAGGCCAGGGAUCGAACCCUCAUCCUCACAGAGACAAGUCAGCUUUCUAACCCCCUGAACCACAAUAGGAAAUCCUCGGAUUGUCCUUUUUAAGUUACAAGUAGUUUGUGGGGAGACUCAGGCUGCCAUAACAGGGUGGCUUAAACAGCAAAUACACUGUCUCAUCAUCGGAAGUCAAAGAUCAAGGUGCAAGGAAGUUAGAUUCUCCAAAGGCCUCUCUCGUUUCGCUGGCGGCCACCUCCUCCCGUGUCCUCAAGGACCUUUUUUGUCUGUGCAUGCAUCCCUGGUGAAUCUUUCUUGUCUGGUAGGGACGCCAGUCCUGUGGGAUUAGGGCACCACUCAUACGACUUCAUUGAACCCCAGGGGCCCCUUGAAAGCAUCACAUUCUAAGGUACUGGGGUGAGGGUUUCAACACACGGAUUUUGGAGGGAGUGCAAUCCACGCAAUAACAGAGACCCAGACAUUGUAAAUACUCUGUUUCUCAUCAAGCUUCAGCAGGUUUAGCACGAGCCGAUGCUUUUCGAGCUGCAUCUUUCCUUUAUGUUUAUUCAUUGCCAUUCUUCUGAGGGAAGCGUUUUCCUCUCCCCAUGUUUAUUUAUUUACUUAUUCAUUUUUAAAAUAGCUCUGUGUAUUUUUACUCUGUUUCAUGGAUUAUAAACCAUGUCGGCUGUUGUUUGUUUUUGUGCUCCAGUUGUCCUAAAUUUGGCUAACAAGGACUCCUUGGAGCUGGGUCCUAUGUCCUUUUUGACAUGUGCCCAUGGCUCUUGUUUCUGUUUUUCGCUGCAUUUUGUAGAGCAGUUUUAGGUGCACAGCACAACUGAGCAGAAAGUUCAGGGGUUCCCAUGUUCCCCCAUUCCACCCCUACAAGCUCUCUAUUGUCAAUAUUCACAACGCAUGCUCCCAUGGUCAAUAUUCUGAGUGUUUCUGCGUCUGCUCUCAUUCCCUAGUCCCUUCAGCCUUGUAUUGCGUCCAAGCCUUGGCGUUGUCUUCUGGCGGUAUGUGUAGCAGGGAGGAGAUUGUCUUUACAGGGUGUUACUUCACCGGGCCCCCCCGAAGCAGAAUUCCUACGUCUUUCUUUUGUUGUCUGAACUACUCAUCUUUGCCUUCGCCUUGAGAGUCUGAUCCAUUUGCAGUUAAUGAAAUGAUUCAUACGGUUGGGUUCAAGGCUACUCUCUUGGUGCUUGUUUUCUAUUUUCGCCUCCUUAAUUGUUUCGUUUGUUUCUUUUUCCCCUACCUUCUUUUGGGUUAAUUGAUUACUUUUUACAUUCCAUUUUAUUUCCUGCGAUAGGUUUUCAGCUAUACGUCUUUGUGUUAUUUUUACUUGAUUCUCUCUAGGAUUAUAUGUAUGCUUAACCCAUUAUAGUCCACUUUGAGUGAAUAGGCUAGUUCGCAUAUAACAUAAGAUACACUUAUGACAAUGUAAUUCCAUUUAGGCUCUGGACUACUACUGUCAUAAUUUUUACUUCUCUAUAUGUUUUAAACCCUAUUGUUUAUCCGCUAAACAUUAAUUGUCUUUUAAGGAAUUAGAAAAAUACUAUUUUCUAUUUACUCACAUAUUAACCUUUGCCAAGGCACCAAAUGUUGGAACUUCCAUCUAUUAUCAUUGGCCUUCAGCCUAAAGAAUUCCCUUUAGCAUUUCUUAAGGUACGAGGCUAUUGGCAAUGAAUUUUCUUGGAUGUCACUUGUCCAACCAUGUCAUUAUUUCUCCUUAUUUUUUAAAAGAUACUUUUGCUGGAUACAAAAUUCUAGAAUGAAAUAUUCUUUUCCUUUCAGCACUUUAACUGCAUUGUUCUGUUACCUGUGACCUCUAUUAUUUCUGAUAAGUCAGUUCAUGCUGUCUUUUUUCUCCAUGUAAUCAAUGAACCUCUUUUCUUUGGCUCCUUUUAUGGUAUUUCUUUUUUAUCUUUCAUUUUCACAAGUUUUACCAUGUUAUACAUCAGUGUAGAUUCUUCUGUAUUUACUCUCCUUUGGCCUGCUGAGAUUCUUAGAUCUGUGGGGUAAUGCUUUCAAUUAAAAUUUGAAUGUUUUGAAGCACCCGUUGUGGCUCAGAAGUAAUGAGCCUGACUGGUAUCCAUGAGGAUGUAGGUUCGAUCCCUAGUCCCACUCCGUGGAAUAAGGAUCUGGCAUUGCCAUGACUGUGGUAUAGGUUGUAGACACAGCUCUGAUCUGGCUUUGCUGUGCUGUGGCAUAGACUGGCAGCUGCAAUCCUGAUUCGACCCCUAGUCCAGGAACUUCCAUGUGCUGCAGCUGUGGCCCUAAAAAAAAUGUUUAGGGUUUUGCUAUUAUUAUUUAAUAUAUUUUUUCUGCCCCAUUUGGCUUUCUUUUGCUCUUUGGACUCUGAUCACAUAAAUAUUAGAUUGCUUGAAACUGUCCCCCAUUAGUUGAGGCUUUGUCCCAUGUUUUGAACAUCUUUUUCUCUCUGGGCUUCAGUUUGGUUAAUUUCUAUGGCCCUGUUUACAAGUUCACUAAUGCUUUCUUCUGCGGCAUCCAAUCUGCCACUCAACCCAUUUUUUCUCUUCAGACAUUGCAUUUUCGAGUUCUAAAAUUUUCAUUUCUUUCUUCUUUAGAGUGUUCAUUUCUCUCUUGUUAUUUGCUAUCACAGUGAGAAUAUAUACACAAUCAAUCAAUCUUUGCCUGUAAUUAAUAUAUAUAGACAAUACUUAUUUUACAAAGUCUAGUGAAAUAAUUCUGAUAGCUGGAUCCUCUGUCCAUUUGCUUCUGCUGAAUGAUUUUUUCUUUCGAUUAUGGGUCACUUUCCCUUGCUUCCUUGUAUGCCUAGCAAUUUUAAAUUAAAUAGUGCAUGUCGUGUACGGUCAUCAUAGAGGCUCUGGAUUCUGUUAUUUUCCUCUGGAAAAAUGUUGCCUUUUGUUGUAGUGUCAACUAAACUACCAGCAAGCCCCUUGACCUUGUGAAGGUUUGGGUUUAAUCUUGGACAGGGCAAGUUUAUCCCAGUUUUUCUCUUAGCCUUACAGUGCCCCCCUAAGUCCUGGGACAAGGACCCUGAGCCCAAGCCCAAAGCCUUUCUUUGGCUUCAGUUGAAGGAU
rnacentral:lncRNA from 1 species